rnacentral:rRNA from 1 species
CGGCGAGUGAAGCGGCAAAAGCUCAAAUUUGAAAUCUGGCUCUUUCAGAGUCCGAGUUGUAAUUUGAAGAAGGUAUCUUUGGGUCUGGCUCUUGUCUAUGUUUCUUGGAACAGAACGUCACAGAGGGUGAGAAUCCCGUGCGAUGAGAUGAUCCAGGCCUAUGUAAAGUUCCUUCGAAGAGUCGAGUUGUUUGGGAAU